AGUGAACGCUGGCGGUAGGCCUAACACAUGCAAGUCGAACGGCAGCACAGUAAGAGCUUGCUCUUACGGGUGGCGAGUGGCGGACGGGUGAGGAAUACAUCGGAAUCUACUUUUUCGUGGGGGAUAACGUAGGGAAACUUACGCUAAUACCGCAUACGACCUACGGGUGAAAGCAGGGGAUCUUCGGACCUUGCGCGAUUGAAUGAGCCGAUGUCGGAUUAGCUAGUGGGCGGGGUAAAGGCCCACCAAGGCGACGAUCCGUAGCUGGUCUGAGAGGAUGAUCAGCCACACUGGAACUGAGACACGGUCCAGACUCCUACGGGAGGCAGCAGUGGGGAAUAUUGGACAAUGGGCGCAAGCCUGAUCCAGCCAUACCGCGUGGGUGAAGAAGGCGUUCGGGUUGUAAAGCCCUUUUGUUGGGAAAGAAAAGCAGCAGGUUAAUACCCCGCUGUUCUGACGGUACCCAAAGAAUAAGCACCGGCUAACUUCGUG
rnacentral:rRNA from 1 species